rnacentral:rRNA from 1 species
UAGUGGCGAACGGGUGAGUAACACGUGGGUAACCUGCCCAUCAGAGGGGGAUAACUAUUGGAAACGAUAGCUAAUACCGCAUAACAGUAGAUAUUGCAUGAUAUCUACUUGAAAGGUGCAAUUGCAUCACUACCAGAUGGACCUGCGUUGUAUUAGCUAGUUGGUGGGGUAACGGCUCACCAAGGCGACGAUACAUAGCCGACCUGAGAGGGUGAUCGGCCACACUGGGACUGAGACACGGCCCAGACUCC